ACUUUUGUAGUAUAUAUAAUACAUUGAUAUUAAAAAUCAUUAAAGAGAUUACUCUCCUAAAGUA
rnacentral:tRNA from 1 species